rnacentral:misc_RNA from 1 species
GAUGAAGAACGCAGCGAAAUGCGACAAGUAAUGUGAAUUGCAGAAUUCCGUGAAUCAUCGAAUCUUUGAACGCACAUUGCGCCCGUCAGUAUUCUGGCGGGCAUGCCUGUUCGAGCGUCAUUACGCCCCUCAAGUCCCCUGUGGACUUGGUGUUGGGGAUCGGCGAGGCUGGUUUUCCAGCACAGCCGUCCCUUAAAUUAAUUGGCGGUCUCGCCGUGGCCCUCCUCUGCGCAGUAGUAAAACACUCGCAACAGGAGCCCGGCGCGGUCCACUGCCGUAAAACCCCCCAACUUUUUAUAGUUGACCUCGAAUCAGGUAGGACUACCCGCUGAACUUAAGCAUAUCAAUAAGCGGAGGA